rnacentral:rRNA from 1 species
UUUAUGGAGAGUUUGAUCCUGGCUCAGGAUGAACGCUGGCGGCGUGCCUAAUACAUGCAAGUCGAGCGAACGGACGAGAAGCUUGCUUUUCUGAUGUUGGCGGCGGACGGGUGAGUAACACGUGGAUAACCUACCUAUAAGACUGGGAUAACUUCGGGAAACCGGAGCUAAUACCGGAUAAUAUUUUGAACCGCAUGGUUCAAAAGUGAAAGACGGUCUUGCUGUC